rnacentral:tRNA from 1 species
GGACAGGUGGCCGAGUGGUUAAAGGCAGCAGACUGUAAAUCUGCCCGGGUUGCCCGUACGUUGGUUCGAAUCCAACCCUGUCCACCA